UACGUAGGGUGCGAGCGUUGUCCGGAAUUACUGGGCGUAAAGAGUUCGUAGGCGGUUUGUCGCGUCGUUCGUGAAAACUUGGGGCUUAACUCCAAGCGUGCGGGCGAUACGGGCAGACUUUGAGUACUACAGGGGAGACUGGAAUUCCUGGUGUAGCGGUGAAAUGCGCAGAUAUCAGGAGGAACACCGGUGGCGAAGGCGGGUCUCUGGGUAGUAACUGACGCUGAGGAACGAAAGCGUGGGUAGCGAACAGG
rnacentral:rRNA from 1 species